AGCUUGGGAGAUACUAGAGUCCCUGUCUUCUGGACAGUGUCAUGCUCUUCUGUAUGCUGGCAGAUGCUGAUGCUUCAGAGGAAGAUGAGAAAACAAAUAAACAAAACCAGCAGGAAGCUUUUUUCUGACCCUCUCAAAUCAUGCUCUAAGUGCUACAUAUGUACUUUGCCAGCCUGUCACUGCAUCUGGAGUUGUCAGCCAUGCAAACUGGAUCUUCUGCUCCCAAAGAUUUGUGCAAGCAUGAGACCACAAACGCUCGUGUUCUUCAUUCAGGAAGCUCCACUCAUUUCUCAUUUGUUUGGCUGAAUCAAUAGGCACUAAUUGUUGGGAUUUUUGUUGAUCUAAGGCAUCAACUUGCCCUCACUUAGAAGGUUUACUUUAGAGAGCUAUAGCAGGAUUCCUACAGUUUACUUCCUCUGCUUCAUCCUACAGAGUAAAGAUUUACAGAGAAGGGGGACUAAGAAAUAAUAAAAAACCUGUCAACAAUAUUCUGCUUUUGAAAUGAAUAUGUAUACACAAGUUGUUUUACUUACAAUGUAACAGGACAUAGAGGUUUCAUCUGCUUCCUUUUCAUUGUCAAAAUGUAGCCAUGGAGUCCCGGUGUAACUAAGAGCUGGACUUUCCAAGAAUGUUAAUUCAGUAAGUUUGGAAAAUGUGUGAUUGUAGAAAAGCAGAGAGAGAUGUGUGUGAAUCAUUGUUACAAACUUGAAUAUUUCAUAUUUUGAUUUAUUUAAACUUAAUGAACCCCAGAAAGCACUUUUAGUGUUUACUUUUCCUCAUUUGACUCUAAUUAACCUUUCCCAUGAUUCAGAUGUCUGACAAAUGUGUAGGGCUGCAGGGCUAAGUGCUUUUUUCCAUGAUUGACUUUAAUUAAGCUUUCUCUAGGCUUGAAACCCUUGUAAACUCAGAGAACUUUAUUUUAAUUGCCUUCUGCCAGAUUUACUUAUGCUAGACAAAUAUUAUAAAUCAAAUACAACACUAUUAGAAGUAUGAUGAACUGACUUGCACAGCAGUAGUCUGCUAUGGUGAAAUGCAUUAAACUCACCAAAAGAGCUGUGAUGGGAGAAAAAAUGACUGAUUUCAUGAAGGUAGCUUCUGGAGCAUAAGCAGCUUUUCUUUUUCUGCACUGUAGUAUAUGAAAAUACCAAGGUUCAAAGUACUGUUAUUCUUCUCCAGUUUUGAUGGUAAUACAUCAUAUUCAUUCAUACUAGAAAUUAUUAAGUGGAUCCUCUGAGAGCUUAUUUUGUGCGUUGGACUGAUCAAUAGGUCUCUGUUGCAGCUGGUGGAAUGAGCCAGUUCAAUCUUAAUUAAGAGACUUUGUCACCAAAAUCUUGGAAUUUUUGCUCCCUGACUCUGUCCUAAAAGAGUAAUCAGGAGAACCAGACAAAAAGUCACCAAUGCUUGUACAAGUAAAUGCAGAUUUUAUUUUUCAAAAUACUGCUCAAAGAAACACAGUUCAAUGGCUGUUUGCAGAAAUAAAUUAAAGAUUAUCCAUAAAUUUUAUGUUCAGUGUAAGUUUUAUCC